CAUUACGGCCAUAUCACUUUGAAAUCACCGAUUCUCGUCCGAUCACCGAAGUUAAGCAACAUCGAGCCUAGUUAGUACUUAGAUGGGUGACCGCUUGGGACAGCUAGGUGCCGUAAACG
rnacentral:rRNA from 1 species